rnacentral:rRNA from 1 species
UUUUGAGAGUUUGAUCCUGGCUCAGGAUGAACGCUGGCGGCGUGCCUAAGGCAUGCAAGUCGAACGGAUCAAGUAGCAAUACUUGAUUAGUGGCAGACGGGUGAGUAACGCGUAGGAACGUACCUAAAAGUGGGGGAUAACAAUCCGAAAGGAUUGCUAAUACCGCAUGUGAUAGCAAUAUUAAAGCCGCAAGGCGCUUUUAGAUCGGCCUGCGUCCCAUCAGCUUGUUGGUAGGGUAAUGGCCUACCAAGGCGACGACGGGUAGCUGGUGUGAGAGCAUGACCAGCCACAACUGCACUGAGACACGGGCAGUACACCUACGGGUGGCAGCAACCGGGAAUUUUGGACAAUGGACGAAAGUCUGAUCCAGCGACGCCGCGUGAGGGAAGAAGGCCUUCGGGUUGUAAACCUCUUUUGUAUGGGAAGAAAAAAAUGACGGUACCAUACGAAUAAGGACCUGCAAACUACGUGCCAGCAGCCGCGGUAAUACGUAGGGUCCGAGCGUUAUCCGGAUUUACUGGGCGUAAAGGGUUGCUCAGGUGGUUUCUUAAGUCAUAUCUUAAAUAUCGAGGCUCAACCUCGAAGCUGGGUCUGAUACUGGGAGACUAGAGGAAUAGAGAGGAAGGCGGAAUUGCUGGUGGAGCAGUGAAAUGCGUUGAUAUCAGCAAGAACACCAAAGGCGUAGGCAGCCUUCUGGCUAUUUUCUGACACUGAAGCACGAAAGCUAGGGGAGCGAAGCAGAUUAGAGACCUGCGUAGUCCUAGCCGUAAACGAUGGACACUAGAUGGUGGGAGUUAUUUCACUGUCGUAAAGCUAACGCGUUAAGUGUCCCGCCUGGGAAGUACGGCCGCAAGGCUAAAACUUAAAGGAAUUGACGGGGAACCGCACAAGCAGUGGAGCAUGUGGUUUAAUUCGAGACUAAGCGAAAAACCUCACCAGGGUUUGAAAUGUAGCUGCAAGCGCACGGAAACGUGUGAUCUUCGAGAGUGCUAUACAGAUGCUGCAUGGCUGUCGUCAGCUCGUAUCGUGAGACGUUUGCUUAAGUGCAACAACGAGCGCAACCCCUAUCCUGUGUUACUUUUCACAGGAAACUGCCUGAUUACAAAUCGGGAGGAAGGCGGGGAUGACGUCAAGUCAGCACGGCUCUUACACCCUGGGCAACACACAUCCUACAAUGGCGAACAACAACGGGCUGCCACUCGGCGACGAGGAGCCAAUCCCUAAAAUUUCGCCUCAGUUCAGAUCGGAGUCUGCAACUCGACUCCGUGAAGUCGGAAUUGCUAGUAAUCGCAGAUCAGCAGGCUGCGGUGAAUACGUUCUCGGUUCUUGUACACACCGCCCGUCAAGUAGGGAAAGUUAGGGGCACCCGAAGACGUUUUGUUAACCGUAAGGAGACGAACGGCGAAGGUGAAACUAGCGAUCAAUGCUAAGUCGUAACAAGGUAUCCGUUCUGGAAGGAGCGGAUGGAUCACCUCCUUU